rnacentral:rRNA from 1 species
CCUACGGGCGGCAGCAGUGGGGAAUAUUGCACAAUGGGGGAAACCCUGAUGCAGUGACGCCGCGUGAGUGAAGAAGUAUUUCGGUAUGUAAAGCUCUAUCAGCAGGGAAGAAAAUGACGGUACCUGAUUAAUAAGCCCCGGCUAACUACGUGCCAGCAGCCGCGGUACUACGUAGGGGGCAAGAGUUAUCCGGAUUUACUGGGUGUAAAGGGAGCGUAGACGGCAGCACAAGUCUGGAGUGAAAUGCCGGGGCUUAACCCCGGAACUGCUUUGGAAACUGUGCAGCUAGAGUGAAGGAGAGGUAAGUGGAAUUCCUGGUGUAGCGGUGAAAUGCGUAGAUAUUAGGAGGAACACCAGUGGCGAAGGCGGCUUACUGGACUGUAACUGACGUUGAGGCUCGAAAGCGUGGGUAGCAAACAGGAUUAGAUACCCCGGUAGUC